rnacentral:rRNA from 1 species
GGGUUUCCGCCAUUGGAAAAAAGUCUGACGGGAGCACGCCGCGUGAGCGAUGAAGGCCUUCGGGUCUCUAAAGCUCUGUUGUUAGGGAAGACAAGUACCGUUCGAAUAGGGCGGUACCUUGACGGUACCUAACCAGAAAGCCACGGCUAACUACGUGCCAGCAGCCGCGGUAAUACGUAGGUGGCAAGCGUUGUCCGGAAUUAUUGGGCGUAAAGCGCGCGCAGGCGGUCCUUUAAGUCUGAUGUGAAAGCCCACGGCUCAACCGUGGAGGGUCAUUGGAAACUGGGGGACUUGAGUACAGAAGAGGAAAGUGGAAUUCCACGUGUAGCGGUGAAAUGCGUAGAGAUGUGGAGGAACACCAGUGGCGAAGGCGACUUUCUGGUCUGUAACUGACGCUGAGGCGCGAAAGCGUGGGGAGCAAACAGGAUUAGAUACCCUGGUAGUCCACGCCGUAAACGAUGAGUGCUAAGUGUUAGAGGGUUUCCGCCCUUUAGUGCUGAAGUUAACGCAUUAAGCACUCCGCCUGGGGAGUACGGUCGCAAGACUGAAACUCAAAUGAAUUGACGG